rnacentral:lncRNA from 1 species
AAGAAUCCACCUAGACUUUAUUUAUUAUUCUAAAUCUGAAUUAAACGAUUUAUUCAUUUGACUUGAUACAUAGAAAUCUCUAAAUUAUAUCAAUACCUCUUUUGAGAGUAAAAAUAACUGACUCUAGGUUGAUUAAUUAAAAAUCUCUUUCUAAUUAAAACCCUUAUCGUCGCAUUAAUUCAAUCUAUAAAUUCCCCUAUUAAAUUUGACUCUAAUCUGGUAGAUUUAUGUCAUCCUAUUUCUAGGAUUGCAUGCAACUCCACUUAAUUAUGCCAGAUCUACUCUUAAAUAGGGACUUUUGCUCCACCGAAUAGGCACAUCAAUCAUGAAUUAAUAUCCUGAAAACAUUAAACAUGAAGAUAAGUAAACAUAAUUGAGAUCAAGAAAAAUUCAGAAAACUCAAAUAAUAAGAUUUGUCAUAGGUUUCAUCUUUCCUAGGUAUUUAGGGAAUUUAGUUCAUACUUGGAAGAGAAAACAUCUCAAAAAUAGGAAAACAACAAAACAUAAAAAAACUCAAAAACUUCUAAGAAAUUGAAUGGAGAUCUUCAGUCUUGAAGGAGAUCCUACUUUUGAGUUGAGUCUGUCGGUGUUCUUCGAGUCUUUUCUGCAUUCUACUUUGCGUGUCCCAUUUAGGUCCUUUUCUAGUGUGUAUUUAUGGGCUUUAAAAUGCUCAGAAACCUUAAAAAUUGGGUUUUUCCGUGUAACAGGGAAGUAGGGUGCGAAAUUGACACGGACUAGCACAAGGGCAUGUGGCUAGCCCGUGUGGAAAUGCCUAGGCCGUAUGGAUCUUGAAAACAGCUCUUUUUGCCGAAUUUUGACUCAUUUUUUCUCCUUUCGCUCCCCUAUGCUCACCUAAGUAUAAAAACAUGAAUUUAAAAGAUUAGGAGCAUCAAAUUCACUAAUUCAUAUAAUAAAUCAUCCAAAAAUGUAAUCAAGAAUGAGAUUAAAAACAUGUUACUUUUAUGGCUUAUCAAAUAUCCCACACUUAAGCAUUUGCUUGCCCUCAAGCAAAAUUCUCAACUCACAAUUAAAUUAACCUUUCUUGUAACGUCCCCUAAACCUAUAUUGUUGCCAGAACAGGGUUACGAGACAUUACCAGUCAGUACAAUAUGAUAUAGACAUUAAUUUUAAAUAAAUGUUCACACUCAUCAUAAUUUUAAAAUGUCGUCCCCUUUAAUGGGCCCUCGCGGUCUAAUAUGAACAGUAAAAUCAAUUCGAGGCUAAUUUAGAAUCACUACGAAUCUAUUUUUCAGAAAUAGAGGCCUGAAAAUACACUUUUCUGAUAACUGUAAAAAUUCGGGUCAUUACAUUUCUCAACUUGUAAUUCUAUCAAUAAUGUUUUUUUAUAAUUCACAAAUAAUCACACAUUGAUAAUUUAACUAAAAGAGCUCUAAAGAUCCAAACAUCCAAGUCACUUAUUUUUUUUUUAAGACAUGAAAACAUAGGUAUCUCCCAUUAUCUAAGUAAUUACCUUUAAUUCAAAAACAACAAGAUUUUACAUCCUCACUAAAAAUUCACUCAAAUCACUCAAAGUGUUUAAGGUUCAAAAAUUAAGCACUCAAAAGUCAAUUAUGAAAAGUCAUUACCAUAGGCUUGCAUGAAAAUAUCCACCACUACAAAAUGAUAUGAUACACAAAUUAAAAGGUCUUUAAAGGGUUGUAACAGGGCUUGGGUUAAAGGUGUAGAUAAAGGCUGAAAAAGAAGGUUAGAAUUAAGAUCGAAUUGAUAAAUUACCUAACUAGAAAAAUAAACUAAUACUGAAAAAUUACAUCAAUCCAAAUUAUUAAAGAAUAACACGAGCUUCUUCUCAGAAUAUAAAAUUAACUACUUAAGCUCAAAAAUAUAGAACUAGUAAUAAUCAACAUAAAUGCAUUUUUUUCACUUUUUUUUUCAUUUUUUUGAGAACAACAGAUAAUAAGAGAAAAUUUAACAACUAAAACAAAAGAACGUAGUUAAGCAACUAACCAAAUCAAAUCUCGACAAAAAGGGAGUCAAUAAAACGGGAAACAAUUCUCAAUGAAUCAAAAAUGAGUUAUGGGUUAAUAUUAAUGGGUAAAUCAAGAAACUGUUUGUUAGGCUUAAAGGGGGUUCACUAAGGGUUAAUUAUGAAGGUAGGCUUAUGGGAUAAGUGGGUUAAAACCUAUGUGUCUUUAUGAUCUCAGUAUAUUAAAUCAAAUGUGUGGUCUCGACAUGUAUAAUCGAAGCAAGUUCUAGGAAUAACCAAUCAGUAUUAACACACUCAUAACCAAUAAUAGAGUGAGCAAGAAAAUUGUAUGCUCUAAAGGCUUAAAAUCUCACAAAAAUUAUGGUUUUUGAUGUUAAUCUUGCAAAUCUCAAACUUCAAGAUAAUACUUCAAUUUAGGGAAACAACUUAAAAUUUUUAAUUUUAAAAAUAGACUUAUCAUGCUUGAUUCUCUAGUGUCUUAAAGUUUAAACAAUCAAUGCAUAAUUACCUAUGAAUUUAAUCUAAAACACAUCAAUGGUAAUCAUAAAUCAAUAAGAAUUUAUUCUAAUAGUAAUGUGAGAAAAUUAAUUAAACACAAGACAUAAUUCGGGGAUUUUUUAAUAAUUCUCUAGGUAACCUCCCCACAGUUAAGAUGUACAUUGUCCUCAAUGUACAAACAUAUAUAAUCAUAGUAUAAACAGAAUAUCAUAAGGGAGGGAGAAAACUGAAACUGCCCUGAAUAUUGGAUGAAAUCUUCAUAAUAGUGAAAAGUGGAAUUGCAGUCAAAUCUAAAUGUAACUCAUGAUUCCAAGCAAACUAACAAGAAAAUAAACACAAAUAAUAAAGAAGAUUAAAGGGCUAUAACUCGAUUAGAAACAACCAUAAAUAUUUUAAAAGAUAAUAAUGAAAAUAAGUUGAAGAAAAUAAUAAAAAAAUAAAGCAACUAAAACAAAAUUAAAAAGAAAGAUAAAAAAAUAAAACAAAAAUAAUAAUAAUAAACUCAAUAAUACCAAUUGUAAUAAUAAUAGUAAAAAAAACUAAAAAACUAGAAAUAGCAAAAAAAAAUUAAAAUUAAUUUAAAAUAUAAGUAUAAGAAUAAUAAAUAAAAUAAAAUAAAUUAGUAAAAUAAAAUAAAAUAAAAUAAAAAUAGGGUGAUUAACCCAGUUUUCACAUGGCUAUAGACACACCCGUGUGUCCUGGCCGUGUGGGUCACACGGUUAUGUGCCAAACCAUGUGUGUUUUCAUUUACUUUUCCCACACCCAUGUGAGAUCCCACACGCCCGUGCGGCUCGACCGUGUCUCUCACACGGUCAUGUGUCUUGCCCGUGUAACCCUCUGACUUUGAAAAAAAAUUAGCUCUAGGUUUCAUGCGGCCGAGGACCCACCCGUGUCAACUUUGUUAGGCCGUGUCUCUGUCGAUUUUUUGGAAAAAUUAAGUCCCAAGGUUCACACAGCCAAGGACACGCCUGUGUGUCCAGGCCAUGUAGGUUAACGGCCGUGUCACCAGGCCGUGUAACUCUCUGUCGAUUUCAUUCAAUUUUAAAAAACUAAGUCAAUGGAGCCACACGGCCAGGGACACGCCCAUGUGUCCAAGCCGUGUGGGUUUUCAAAACACAUUUUUUAGUUAAUUAAUGAGAUAAAAUUAGUAAAUUAGUAACGUUAGCACUCGGGUUGCCUCCCGAGAAGUGCUUAUUUAAAGUCUAAGCUCAACUUACCUCGUAUUCACAAGUUCACGGUGGUUCGCGGAGUCGAGACUCCUAUUUCUCACUGCCAGUUCUAUUAUCAACAUAAGGUCUAAGUUGAGUAAUAUUUACCUUAAAAGUGCCAAAUUUAUAAUGAUUUACCUCGACUGUACCGGAUGGGAAAACAUUCAGUACCGUAAAAGAAGUCGCUCCAGUUGUAAUAAGCUCUGAAGUGGCUAUUCGGGGAUCCCUUUCAUCUAACAAUACAUGGCCCCCAAUCUUAAAUUGAUUUGCUCCAUUCUCUUGCUUGUCACGACGUAGUUUUGGCUUCACAUCGUGUAUUCUUGGUGUAAACGGGCCAAUUUGCCUAGGUCCAUGUCAAAGCUAAAAUACCAAAAUAAAUCUAAAACCCAUAAAAAUAAAAACCAAUCAAUAGUCCGGGUCCAGUUCCAAAAUCCAAUUACACGGCCCAAAUACAGUGGCCCUAACCCUAGCCCCAUUCGCUCAGCGCCGCAGCAGCCUCCAGCACUACCAUGGCUCGUGCCUCCACGUCGACACCACCAGCAGCCUCCGUAUAGAAAUUAAGAGAAAUGAAUCAAAAUAAAAAAAUUAAAAAAAAAGAGUUUUUGGGCAGAAGGUGAUUAUCCUUCUUUUGUUCUUUUUUUAUUGGAGCAGGAUUUGCUUCGUCCUUUGGUUAUUUUCUUUCUUUCAUUUCUCAUUUUAAUAUAGAAUAAAAAGGAUUGGGAUAAAGAAACACUCACCUGAAUCAAUCGGGUUGUUAGAGUUGCAUCUUCCUUUUCGAAAUCAAGCCCAACUCAUUGUUAGCCAUCUAUUACAGUGAUGGUGCGGCGAUUGGGGGUGAGUUCUGGUCGGCCAAAUGAGGGAUUAAAAAGAGGCUAGGGUUUCAAUUUCAAAAGGACCGAUUGUUUUAUUUUUUGGGAGGAAUUG